rnacentral:rRNA from 1 species
UACAGAGGUGGCAAGCGUUGUUCGGAAUUACUGGGCGUAAAGGGCGCGUAGGCGGCCUUCUCAGUCGGACGUGAAAUCCCCAGGCUUAACUUGGGAACUGCGUCCGAUACUGGAUGGCUUGAGUGCGGGAGAGGGAUGUGGAAUUCCAGGUGUAGCGGUGAAAUGCGUAGAUAUCGUAAGGAACGCCAGUGGCGAAAGCGAGUCUCUGGGCAGCAUCUGACGCUGAGGCACGAAGGCCAGGGGAGCAAACGGG